rnacentral:lncRNA from 1 species
CUUUUGCAUUGGGUCCAGGAACUCGACAAUUUCUGUCCUUGCCAGCAUGAGUCCUGGUCCUUGGGAUCACUACCAAAUGUAAUAACAGCUUUCUUUCUGACAGGCAGUUGUCAUCACCCUAAGGACCACUCCUGCUUAGCUUGCUGUCAGAAAACCAGCCGAUUCCAGAGAAAGAGGAGCAAACUGCCUUUCCUCUGCCUUCCUGAGUGGCAAGGUAUGCCAGUGAGAAAAAUGAUGUUCUGGCCUUGGAACCACCUCCCAUGGGACCAGAUGCCAAGGUAAAUAUGUAGUUGGCUUAAAAUUAAGUGAUACCUAAGCUCUCUCUCCCUGCCCAUAUUUCCUGCCCUUGGUUAUUCACAGAGACUCUUUAUUUGUGCAGGGAUAUUAGAACAAGAGGCAACAUAUUUUAUUGGGAAGAAUACUGGAUUUGGAGUUAGCUGACCUGAGUUUAACUCCCACGCAUACCUCUAGGAUCAAAUAGAAACUCUAUUUGGCUUUCAAAAUCCUUCAUUACCUGAUCCUUUCUUACUGUUCCAGUGUUCUGCUAGUUUAUUCCCCUUUCAAGUACCCCCAGAUCCAGUGAUACUGCUCUCCUUGCUGUCUUUCAAAUGGGACACUCCAAACUCCCAAAUCAGCAUUUUCAUUGGCUACUCCUCAUGCCUGGAAUGUUCUAUCUUCAUUUCCACUUCUUGGCUUCCCUGACUUUCUUCAGGCCUCAACUUAAAGUCUUCCUUCUGUC